UACAGAGGGUGCGAGCGUUAAUCGGAAUUACUGGGCGUAAAGCGCGCGUAGGUUGUUUGUUAAGUCGGAUGUGAAAGCCCUGGGCUCAACCUGGGAACUGCAUUCGAAACUGGCAGGCUAGAGUAUGGUAGAGGGAAGUGGAAUUCCAGGUGUAGCGGUGAAAUGCGUAGAUAUCUGGAGGAACAUCAGUGGCGAAGGCGACUUCCUGGACCAAUACUGACACUGAGGUGCGAAAGCGUGGGGAGCAAACAGGAUUAGAUACCCGAGUA
rnacentral:rRNA from 1 species